CUCCAAAAUGACACCAUUAUUUACCAUACAUUUUUAAUGGACCCAAAAUAAUCUGAAACACAACCAAAACAAACAGCAAAUGCAUCCAACAAGUACCGUAAAUUCCGGACUAUAAGCCGCAACUUUUUCCCACGCUUUGAACCUCGCGGCUUAAACAAUGACGCGGCUAAUAUAUGGAUUUUUCCCGCUUUCAAUUUUUUUUCCCCAAAAAACACAUUCUGUGACGUGCUCAGUUUUUUGGCGGCAUGAAGCUUUCAUUAGACCAAUGAAAUUGCCGAAUGGGUUAAGGUCAAACAGUGACGAGAGCGACAAUGAAAACGAUCCAAUAUCGGAUGAAGCAAUUCUGAGGCUAUUCAACUCCGACACCGAAGGAGAUGACUUCAGUGGUUUCAGUGCACAGGAGGAGGAAGAUAGUGACCAAUGACUUUCUUGGUAGGCUACUGUUUACUGCAAAUUUGUUAUUUUUUGUUACAAGCCGUGUUUCGUUAGAGCCUAUUUAUUUUUGUUACAAGCCGUGUUUUGUUAAAGCCUGUGUAAAGUUAAUUUGUUUCAAUGUACCGGUAGGCACCUGCGGCUUAUAGACAUGUGCGGCUUAUUUAUGUUGAAAAUAAUAAUGUUUUAAAAAUUCAGUGGGUGCAGCUUAUAUUCAGGUGCAUUACGAUAUGUAAAGUCACAAGCUUGAUGUAACUUUUUACUACGUUAAUACACGUAUAAAUGAAUUUGUCCCAAUACUUUUGCUCCACUAAAAUGGGGGGACUAUGUACAAAAAGUGCUAUAAUUUUUAAGCGGUUCACCCAAUAUGGAUGAAAAUACCCUCAAAGCUGACUCUCUGCACUUUAACCUGGUAGUCAUUGUAUCAUUUCAAAUCCAAGGUGCUGGAGUGCAGAGCCAAAACAACACCAAACGUGUCACUGUCCCAAUACUUGUGGAACUCACUGUAUUUCAUUUCUGAAACACAUUUAGGUUAAAAAAACAUCCACAAAGCAGUCUGUACACUUUGUUCCCACCAUUCCAGUGCCUGGCGUGGGUAUAGUUCUGUAUAUGCUGCUGUAAAGAGCAUCCUCACAACGGAUGCACCAAUCUAAAUUAACAAUUGAAAAGAAGGUACUCUACAUAACUGGUGCCCCCUGUGAGGACUAUUCCUUUUCACAGCUUUACUCUUUACUGUUUAAGAUGCUGCCGUCCCCUCUAGUCACCCUUUCUAUUUUAACUAUGGACAUACUCGUUUGGACGAGCUGCUUUACAUUUUCAAUGCGGAACACUGUAUUUUUCUUUCUGAUUUCAUCUUUCCCAUCCAAUUUUACAGUGUCAAUAACCCCCAGCCAUUUAAGCCUAAGGCAGUGGUUGGAAGAAUAUCCUUGAACAUCCAUAUGAUGCAUCAGCCUUUUCAAAUUUAAUGAGAGCAGGAGAGAGCUGAGUGACAGUAUCUGCAGGUGGGCAGGGAAACAAGAACUGGUGCUGAGAGCCUCUUUUAACACCCUGGUUGUGUGAAGUAGAAAACACCUCCUCUGGUGUGUCUUACAAUUGGGGAUAUCAUGUAAAUAUCAGAAAAGCUACUGUCUUUGAUAUCUACUCAUUCCAGUAAGUAAGUGCUAGCCAGCUUCAUUAUUAGUGCUGUGUGUCUCCCUAUGGGAGUGAUCUUGUAGUGGUUUUAUAUAGCAUCCCCAUCUGAAUCACACAACAGGGGGCUGAUGGGACAUGAAGGUGUAGUAGAUGGAUUUAUAACUCCAGGCUGUGGCACACAACUUGGCAUAGGUGGUGUGUGAGUUUUGGGAAGCUUACCGAUCAGUGAUUUCCAUAUGCGCAUUUUUGUGGAAUGGUUUCAUUUUAAUAAUUUGUUUCUCAAAAUCAUUAUCAGGUGUUUAAUUAUAUAAAUCAGAAUUUAAAUGAUAAAAAUCUAAAAGUUAAAAUGAACUAAUGCAAGCGCAACAGCCUGUGCCAUAUGGACACAUUGAUACACCGUGAGCCAUUGUCGGCUAAAGAAAUUAGCUUAUGCAAUGCAGCAUGCCUAUAACUUCCCUUGUCAACUAAGUAAAAAUACAUAAAGCCGACAAAUAAAAACAUUAGAAAAUAUCCUGAUGAAAAAAGAUCUUCUAUAUAUCACAUUGACUACAAAUGGCAAUUGGUUCAGAUUCUUUCAAUCGCAUUCAUCUCUCUAUUCCGCCUGUCUACCUCCCUUUCUGUCUGUGUUGACUUGAGCUAUCGCUGGUGAAUGUGCAACGUUGUAUCAAAUCAAUCAACAAGGUCCUGCCCGAAGCUGUUGCUAGUGAACUUGCAACUUAAUAUAAAGUGAGUCAGUCCCGAAGCUGUCUAGCGAACUUGCAACAUUGUAUCAAUUCUAUUCUGGGCCCUCAGAGUUUUACAUGCCAGUGAGCUCGGGACAGACACAGCUGUAUUUGUAAGGGAAUGUGCAAGAAUUGGUGGGAGACAGCUGAGAGCAUUCUGAAGAGACACACCUACUGUACGUACGUUUGCCACACACCUCUCUCCUUCUUUUUGUCUCAACAUUUUUUAUUAUACUCAAGACACGUUAUCUUUCAGAUGCUUUUCACUGACAGCUGCAACUCAAUAAUCAGCUAGGCCUAUUGCCGUGCUCCCUGCCCAAGUUGCGGCCUUCCCAACUGUAGACUAUAUGUGCUUGAGAUUUGAAACAAUCCACAGCUAUUUUUAAAAGAAGCAAAUUAUCCUCUGUGGCUAAGUCAUGCUCUCUGGUGUAGUACUUAGAAUAAUAUUUAAUUUAUUUCUGUAUAGACUGGGGUAAUUAUAUAAUUUUGGCAAAUGUAUUUCAAUUUACUUUAGGGGAAGCGUAGUUUAGCCUAUUGGACGCACCGCCUAUGCCUGGUGGUAACAAAAAGUGAGUGAUGCAACUCACUAUUUGCCAUUAAUAGCAUAGGAGAAGAAGGAGAUUGUGCAGUAGUGUUUUUUUUAAAUGAUUUAUUCUGUUUAUUUCCCCCAUAAUAGGUCUACUAGGGUGGAAUAAAUGUAUUUCUGAUUCAGGUGUGUUAAAUUAGUCUUAGAUUUUUUUUAACAACCUCCCCACAUAGUGAUAUUCAAACAUAAACCCUUAUUUGUUAAGUCCCUUGUUUAUAUGCAGUGUUUGAGAUCCUUCACUCCCCUGCUAAACUGAACAAAUAACAAAUCUUCGGAAACAUUAAAACCCCAGCUAAAUACUAACAUUUUCCCAAUAUUGUUUUGAUGUGAAAGAUACUUUAGGCUUGUCUUAGUUGUUAUAAAU
rnacentral:lncRNA from 1 species